GCAGCGCCUGCUGCUGCUGCUGCUGCUGCUGUUGCAGCUGCUGUUGCUGCUGCUGCAGCUGCUGCU
rnacentral:sRNA from 1 species